GGGGGGAUUUGUUUCAUUCAGAAUUCUCUCCUAUCUCUUCUUUCUUACAUCCUUUCUCUAUUAUCCAAUUAUUCUCUUCCUUCUCUUAUUAGGAUAAGUUCAAAAAUAGUAAGGACAAGUCCUAUUUUAGGACAAGAGCCUAGAAAAAGAUAUAAGAAAAACAAGGAGAGAAGAAAGGUAGGGAUAGGAAGGUAGGAGGAGAGGAAGA
rnacentral:lncRNA from 1 species